UUUGUGGUUUAAGGAGCUCUAGUGACCUCCAUGUAUUUCGUAAAGGUUAAUAAUUGGAUUUGAAUGAAAGCUACAAAUGAUCCCUUUAAAAUGACACCAAACACAAUAUUAAUAAACAUUGGGAGGUGCCCUAACUAUGAGUCUAAACCAGGAUGGACAACAGCGUCUAAUAUCCAAUUAACCAUGGGGAGGGGGGUUAACUUGGAGGAGGAAAUAUAGAAAACCAGGGGCCUUAUUUGAAGGGCAACCGGUGGAUUCUUGUUUUGGACACCUUGAAAAUACCUGGUUGCCCACUUUUCCUCAAAAAUACCUACAGGGUCACAUGAUUCUGAAGUUACAGCCCAGUCUAAAAUGCCUGUGAGGAGCUAGUGACCCUUGGCUACACAACAGGAUGUAGGGCAGCCUAAUGCAGCUCUAAGCCAAACCCAUACACUGCAUCUUAUCAGUGCAGAAAGUUAAGUGACCUUUGCAUGAAUUUUUAAUGCACUGAAAGGAAAAAAAAUAUGAUCACAAAGAAUUGUAAUGCUUUUUUGAUUCAAUCAUUACUAUUCAUACUUGUAAUUAGUUGCCAUGUUCAGUGAAUUUUACUGAUUGAUUAAAAGGAUGAAAACUGUCUACCUGGUCUUUGAUAAUUACUGAAUUAGUAUUAGUAAUAAUAUCAUUACAUCUAAACAAUCGGUGUGGGGAUUUUUUACAUAAUGCUGGUCCAAAGAAUGAAUGGAGGUGAAAGGGCCUGGGCCGGUUACUGCUAUUUUAAGGCUCACAGUGACCUCUCACAAAGAAAUAGAGUGGGUAUAUCAUACAUUUCCUUAAUCCUCAAAGUUCAUUUAGUAUUGAAAUUGUUGGCUUUUGGGUCUUUAAUAUCCCUUGAUCCCAUAGGGAUAAAAGAAACUAUAUAGUUCAGGCAUAAACUGUGGAAAAAAAAUGUGUAAUUUAUGGUUUAAUUUAUGUGUUUUUCAGAAAGAUACAACCAUGGGCUUAAAUGAAAGGCUAGAAGGUCCCCUUUACAAUGAUACCAAACAAUUAUAUAUAAAUUCUGAACAAAUAGGAAAUUGAUAGCUAUUUUUAGCAUUGGGCGAUUUAUCAAUAAUUAUGCUAAUUAAUCAAUAAUUAUGACUAAACAGUAACUUUUACAGCUAGGCAACUGGCAAAAAUGGAUAAAACACAAAAAAAAAAUCCUACAGAAUCAAUGCAUUCUAAGGUUUUUUUUUUCAAUUUUCUGUCCUGACUUUUAUCCCUGAUGGGAGAUGCCCCCCACCCUUUCCUGAAGAACCAAGAUCCUCGCCUAAACCUCUGACUUCUCAAAACUCCACACAGUCACCUCCCACAAAGAGAUAGUAUGGGUAUGUUACACAUUUUCUGAAUCUUUUAAGUCCCAAGAGUAUUGCAGUUUGUAAUUUGUGUAUCCCUGAUGCCCCUGGGUGACAUAUGGCCAAAAGAAAGUAUAUCAUGUAGGCGAAAACUGCAGGAAAAUGUGUAUUUUUUGUUAUUUAAAGAGCUCUAGUGACUUCCAUGUUGGCCUAAAAUGAACACAUAUAGGCUUAAAUGAAAGCAACAAGGGUCCCCUUUAAAAUGAUACCAAACAGUCUAUUGUAAACCUUUGAGAAAUGUCCCUGCCAUGAGCCUAAACCAGAUAUACACCAGUGUAAAAAAAUCAAAUUUAUCUUAAGGGAUGGUUAACUUCAUGAGCUGAUAACUAAUAUUUAGCUGGGCAUCUCGAAAGGUUAUCAUACAAAAAUAUAAUCUACAGACAUGUGUCUUUUCAAAAAUCAUGAUGAACCUUUGCCACUCUGAGGUGUACCAAAUAGAGAAAUUCUGGCCUCUGGCCUGUAGCCUAUUUAUGGGAAGUGUACACACAGGCUGUUUGCUCAUGUGUCCAUCUUUUGUUAUACCUCGACAUAACUUAAAUGAAGACUGAUGAUGUGGUGUGACCCAUUGCUGAAGUCAGGAAUUCAUGAAUAAACAGCCCUGAAGCACUGAGACACUUAGUACAGUGUGUGCAUGUAUCCUCUUACGUGCUGAAGACAAAGGCAAAAACUGAAACACGUGCCUUUUUUUUCUUCUGCUCUGAUACCUGCAUGCUGGUCUCUGCUCGUUCUCAUUGUUGUGGGGUGUAACUGUGAUGUCUGUCUCACUUGUUACUGUUUAUGCAAGCGUGACUCCCGUAGGCUCAGUCAGUCCAGCUGUUUUUAGUAGAGAAAAAAAGUACAAUACAAUACAGAAUUAUACUGGAACACCUCACAGGCACAAUUUUUAGAUAAAAAAAGUUAUUAAACUGUGUUAAAUGAUUAGGUAGGUCACACAUUGUUCCAGCCUUUUUCUUGAUCACCAGCAAUAAACAAACACAUUUGGCUGUGGCUUAUCGUCAGGGCUGUUUUUCACGAGGGGAGGAUCAAAUAUCCAACUCAUGAGCUGACAAUAUCAAAUUGGAUUUCUUAGCACAACAAAAAGUGACUGUGUUAAUUCAAUUUUUUUUUAUUUGAUCAUUUAUUCAUAUAGGCAGAAUUAAACACAAAUUCAAGAAAGACCUUCAAAAUCUCUUAAAGUCAUAAAAAAUAUGCAAGAUACAGCACGAAACAAACUAAACUAUACAUAGAUAGAACAUAAAACACAAUAAAGCA
rnacentral:lncRNA from 1 species